UCUCACUUUUCACCCCCACUUGGUUCUUCCGUAAUCUCCCAGCUGCAGUGAGGAGGGAGCAAAAGCGAAACGAAAGCACGAAACGAAAGCACCUGGUUGUAUCAGUUGCAGCAGCUUCCCAGAUCACGGCCAUGGAAGGCGAAGGUCUGGGGUUGGAGAGGCCAGGAGACACCUCUUCUACCAUGUGAAGAUAUAGUGAGAAGAUUUCUGUCUGUGAACAAGGCAGCUGGCCCUCAGAAGACAUUGAAUUUGCUGGCACCAGGAUAUUGGACUUCCCAGACUGCAAAACUGUACUUACCACUGGCUGAACACAAGUGGGAGGCAGAGGGGCAGAGAACUCUUGAUGCAGUCCAAAAAGGUCAGCCUCCAAGGCAAACAGCAGAUGGAGGAGAGGAUCCUCAAAUGUGUUUAUGAAAGGAAGGAAAAAGAAAUGAGUGGUUAACUCCUACAACUACAAGAACUGGAGGAACAACAACAAACAAAGCCUACAGAGAGUAGAAGGAAAGACAUAACCAAAAUCAGAGCAACAUUAAACAACGUGGAGACUAAAACAACAAUCCAAAGGAUCAAUAAAUCCAGGAGCUGGUUCUUUGAAAAGAUAAACAAAAUUGACAAGCAUUUAAGCAGAUUUGUCAAGGACAAAAGAGAGGAUCAAAAUAAAUAAAUUCAGAAAUGAAAGAGGAAAGAUUACAACUGAUAAC